GAGAGGGCGAACGGCCACACUGGAACUGAGAUACGGUCCAGACUCCUACGGGAGGCAGCAGUGGGGAAUAUUGCACAAUGGGGGAAACCCUGAUGCAGCCAUGCCGCGUGUGUGAAGAAGGCCUUCGGGUUGUAAAGCACUUUCAGCGAGGAGGAAAGGUCAGUAGCUAAUACCUGCUGGCUGUGACGUUACUCGCAGAAGAAGCACCGGCUAACUCCGUGCCAGCAGCCGCGGUAAUACGGAGGGUGCAAGCGUUAAUCGGAAUUACUGGGCGUAAAGCGCACGCAGGCGGUUGGAUAAGUUAGAUAUGAAAGCCCCGGGCUCAACCUGGGAAUUGCAUUUAAAACUGUCCAGCUAGAGUCUUGUAGAGGGGGGUAGAAUUCCAGGUGUAGCGGUGAAAUGCGUAGAGAUCUGGAGGAAUACCGGUGGCGAAGGCGGCCCCCUGGACAAAGACUGACGCUCAGGUGCGAAAGC
rnacentral:rRNA from 1 species